rnacentral:rRNA from 1 species
GACGAACGCUGGCGGCGUGCUUAACACAUGCAAGUCGAACGGAAAGGCCCUGCUUUUGUGGGGUGCUCGAGUGGCGAACGGGUGAGUAACACGUGAGUAACCUGCCCUUGACUUUGGGAUAACUUCAGGAAACUGGGGCUAAUACCGGAUAGGAGCUCCUGCUGCAUGGUGGGGGUUGGAACGUUUCGGCGGUUGGGGAUGGACUCGCGGCUUAUCAGCUUGUUGGUGGGGUAGUGGCUUACCAAGGCGUUGACGGGUAGCCGGCCUGAGAGGGUGACCGGCCACACUGGAACUGAGACACGGUCCAGACUCCUACGGGAGGCAGCAGUGGGGAAUAUUGGACAAUGGGCGCAAGCCUGAUCCAGCCAUACCGCGUGGGUGAAGAAGGCCUUCGGGUUGUAAAGCCCUUUUGUUGGGAAAGAAAUCUUUCAGGCUAAUACCCUGGGAGGAUGACGGUACCCAAAGAAUAAGCACCGGCUAACUUCGUG